rnacentral:tRNA from 1 species
UGCAAUAUUGCAAUAAACUUUUAAUUUAUCUUUUCAGUUAUCUGAUGUUGCGU